GUCCACGCCAUAAACGAUGACAACUAGACGUUGGGAGGGUUUGCCUUUCAGUGUCGCAGCUAACGCGUUAAGUUGUCCGCCUGGGGAGUACGGCCGCAAGGUUGAAACUCAAAGGAAUUGACGGGACCCGCACAAGCGGUGGAGCAUGUGGUUUAAUUCGAUGCAACGCGAAGAACCUUACCUGGCCUUGACAUGUCUGGAAUCCCGGAGAGAUUUGGGAGUGCCGCAAGGAACCAGAACACAGGUGCUGCAUGGCUGUCGU
rnacentral:rRNA from 1 species